rnacentral:rRNA from 1 species
GAUGAACGCUGGCGGCGUGCCUAAUACAUGCAAGUCGAGCGAACAGACGAGGAGCUUGCUCCUCGGACGUGAGCGGCGGACGGGUGAGUAACACGUGGAUAACCUACCUAUAAGACUGGGAUAACUUCGGGAAACCGGAGCUAAUAGCGGAUAAUAUAUUGAACCGCAGGGUGCAAUGGUGAAAGACGGUUUUGCGGGCACGUAUAGAUGGAUCCGCGCGGCAUUGGCUAGUUGGUAAGGUAACGGGUUAUCAAGGCAAGGAUGCGUAGCCGAGCUGAGAGGCGGGUCGGCCACACUGGAACGGGACCACGGUCCAGACUCCUACGGGAGGCAGCAGUAGGGAAUCUUCCGCAAUGGGCGAAAGCCUGACGGAGCAACGCCGCGUGAGUGAUGAAGGUCUUCGGAUCGUAAAACUCUGUUAUUAGGGAAGAACCAAUGUGUAAGUAACUAUGCACGUCUUGACGGUACCUGAUCAGAAAGCCACGGCUAACUACGUG